rnacentral:rRNA from 1 species
AACGAACGCUGGCGGCAUGCCUAACACAUGCAAGUCGAACGAGAUCUUCGGGUCUAGUGGCGCACGGGUGCGUAACGCGUGGGAAUCUGCCCUUUGGUUCGGAAUAACAGUUGGAAACGACUGCUAAUACCGGAUGAUGACGAAAGUCCAAAGAUUUAUCGCCAGAGGAUGAGCCCGCGUAGGAUUAGCUAGUUGGUGUGGUAAAGGCGCACCAAGGCGACGAUCCUUAGCUGGUCUGAGAGGAUGAUCGGCCACACUGGGACUGAGACACGGCCCAGACUCCUACGGGAGGCAGCAGUGGGGAAUAUUGGACAAUGGGCGGAAGCCUGAUCCAGCAAUGCCGCGUGAGUGAUGAAGGCCUUAGGGUUGUAAAGCUCUUUUACCCGGGAUGAUAAUGACAGUACCGGGAGAAUAAGCUCCGGCUAACUCCGUGCCAGCCGCCGCAGUAA